AGUCGUAACAAGGUCUCCGUAGGUGAACCUGCGGAGGGAUCAUUACACAAUACAAUAUGAAGGCCGUACGCGGCUGGAUUAUUUUAUUACCCUUGUCUUUUGCGCACUUGUUGUUUCCUGGGCGGGUUCGCCCGCCACCAGGACCACACCAUAAACCUUUUUUUAUGCAGUUGCAAUCAGCGUCAGUACAACAAAUGUAAAUCAUUUACAACUUUCAACAACGGAUCUCUUGGUUCUGGCAUCGAUGAAGAACGCAGCGAAAUGCGAUACGUAGUGUGAAUUGCAGAAUUCAGUGAAUCAUCGAAUCUUUGAACGCACAUUGCGCCCUUUGGUAUUCCAAAGGGCAUGCCUGUUCGAGCGUCAUUUGUACCCUCAAGCUUUGCUUGGUGUUGGGCGUUUUUUGUCUUUGGUUGCCAAAGACUCGCCUUAAAACGAUUGGCAGCCGGCCUCCUGGUUUCGCAGCGCAGCACAUUUUUGCGCUUGCAAUCAGCAACAGAGGGCGGCACUCCAUCAAGACUCCAUUUUCACGUUUGACCUCGGAUCAGGUAGGGAUACCCGCUGAACUUAAGCAUAUCAAUAAGCGGAGGAAAAGAAACCAACAGGGAUUGCCCUAGUAACGGCGAGUGAAGCGGCAACAGCUCAAAUUUGAAAUCUGGCUCUUUUAGAGUCCGAGUUGUAAUUUGCAGAGGGCGCUUUGGCUUUGGCAGCGGUC
rnacentral:misc_RNA from 1 species